UGUUUCAGCCGUAAAAGCAGUCAGACUCUGAAUACUUAAAGUUUCAAAAUAAAGAUUAAAAAUAAAAACUAUAUAAAUCGUUUAGACGCAUAAGCUUCCCCAUCCGGAAUCUGUAAAUAAAAAGCUCAGGGUUCUCGCUCAGCCCAGAAUCCUGCGAUGCAACCCCUCAGCUCUCCCUGUAAACAGCAAGCGUUACUGACCGCUUACCAGUUGCAGCUUACAACAUAAUAAGUCCAUACACUCUACAGGUCACUGUCAGUUUGAGGGUCAUAAGUUCACUCGGUCAGUAAGCAGUUAAAAUAAUACUCAACCUGUUCGAAGCGCCGCGCGGGAGGAGACACAAGGGGGGAGAUCUCGCUUUCCCUCAAUCAUCUGACCCCUCAACACAAAAACUGUCUCUUUCUUUACAACCCUCGCGCCGUCAUGCUUAGUAUUUAUAAAUAGCGGACACCUUGUCACAAAAAAAAAAAAAAAAAAAAUCGACAGGAUGUUAUAUUUCACGCCUUUACGUAUCCUAAAAAUCCCCAUCACGCGGACAAACACAAUGCCUGUAUUAUCAAUAAUGUAUAUAUAAGGCCCUCUUCCCACCUAACUGAAUGCAUGCACGGUGACUCCUCCGAAACAUGUCACAACUUCCUUCUUCGCGGCGAGCUACAACCGCUCAGAACUACAAUGACCGGUCUACACGCGCUCCACCUGUGAUAUACCACCCCACUGUGAGCGAUCUUAACAACAUCUUUCAUCAAAAUUCUGACUUUGAUUUCAGGGGGAACGGUUACAUUGAUGCUCAAUACGGGAGAGCUUCACACGCUCUACAAACCCCCAAACGCACUCAGCCCAUGAGUAAAUUGUCUCGUAAGUCGGGCAAAACGACUCUAUU